GACACUUUGGCCGAGUGGUUAAGGCGCAGGCCUGCUAAGCCUGUGGGUUCGCCCGCCUGGUUAGUAACAUCGUCAUUAUAAAGUGUCAACUUUCUCUAACAAUUCCCAAUAGGGUUCGAAUCCCAGAGGUGUCG
rfam:Aspergillus lentulus DNA, contig: Alt16, strain: IFM 54703.